AUCAAAGAGAACAGGAAAAACAAAUGACGUAAUGGGAAUGAUGCAAUAGUUCAGCUCUCAGCCAAUCAGAGGCGAGGAAGGGAGAGCGAGGGAGCGGAGCGUUGACCAAUCACGGAGCAGCAACCAUAACACAGUGCACAACCGCAUCGACGUGUUCUUGUGAGGAGGAACAAAUAUUAAGUUUUUCUCUAUAUAUUUUGUGCCGAGGAGGAGGAGAAUGGAAGGGAGAAAACUUGGGACUGCCGCGGAGAAGAUAAAGGCCGAGACAAGAGGAUAAGAAGACCAGGAAGAAGAGGAAGAGGAGGAGAAGAGAGAGGAGAGGGACAACGCGUGUGAGGUAACGUCACAAAUCGGACCUCAUUACGCUCAUCGCUCACCUGGAUGGCUCACGACUCACCUGUGCUAACGAGAACCUUUGCCUGGAAUGGACACGAGAAAGCAUUAUUGAACCCUAUCGUAAAAAUAAUAACCGUACCCAGCCUCUGUUCGUCCCAGGAAAGUUAGCUGUCCCCGUGCUCAGGUGGGCGGGCAAUUAACCUGGGUCUUCUCUCCACGUGGCAGGUACAGAGGAUGACUUGCCAGGUGAGGUCAUUAAGAGCGAUUACCUGUGCUCCUCUGAAGGGCCUAAUUACACUCCGUCGCCAG